rnacentral:tRNA from 1 species
GGCAACUUGGCCGAGCGGUCUAAGGCGCUAGAAUCAGGAGAUCCUCCAUCUAGUCUUUCGGGGCGUGAGUUCGAAUCUCACAGUUGUCA